UACGUAGGGGGCAAGCGUUAUCCGGAUUUACUGGGUGUAAAGGGAGCGUAGACGGCGUUGCAAGUCUGAUGUGAAAACCCGGGGCUCAACCCCGGGAGUGCAUUGGAAACUGUGGUGCUAGAGUGUCGGAGAGGCAAGUGGAAUUCCUAGUGUAGCGGUGAAAUGCGUAGAUAUUAGGAGGAACACCAGUGGCGAAGGCGGCUUGCUGGACGAUGACUGACGUUGAGGCUCGAAAGCGUGGGGAGCAAACAGG
rnacentral:rRNA from 1 species